rnacentral:lncRNA from 1 species
UCUGGUCUAUGGAUGGUGUUGGCAUAACAUACAGUGUUGAUCAACACUCAUUCCCCCAACUGUGCAAUCUAUCUUUUGUUGGUAAUCUAUCUUGUAAGAACAGCCAUAGAUUGAAUGUUGCCUUUGGUCUUGCACAGUUCUGUAUGAUCAAAUUCUUCCAUGGUACUCUCGGCAGGUCUUGAAGCUGUAAAUGGUAUAGCUGUCUAACUGAGUGCCAUGUGUACAUUAGUUUCAUAAAAAAAUAAUGAAAAGAAGAGAAAUACUUGGGCACAAAACUGAAAUAACAAGGAUAUUAGAAUAAGAAUUGAAUAUCCUCUGAAAGUACUCGUGAAGGUCUACCGUUCACGAAUCAACAACUCAUGUGUACACCUUUAUCCUCUAUAACAUAAGCUCUUACCGAUGAUAUAUUUAUACGAUACCACAUAUUUACUUCAUGAACAUCUAUCGUCCACGAAUCAACAACCCAUGUGUACGCCUUUAUCCUUGAUAACGUAAGCUCUUACCAAUGUCAUAUUUAUACGAUACCACAUAUUUACUAUGUUGGUAUAUUAUUCAAUGUUUAAAAGGCUAUAGAAUGAACAGACACCAACAAUUUCUGCACGAAAGACAUAUGAAGUGGGAAACUUUACCUAUACUACUUUUAUUAAUAGGUACUUUAAAAUAAAAAAAAAUUAAUGCUGCUUACUAAUUCUUGCGUGUAAUGGAUUACAGUAAAUUGUACAUUAAC